UGGGGAAUAUUGCACAAUGGGCGAAAGCCUGAUGCAGCAACGCCGCGUGAGCGAUGAAGGCCUUUGGGUCGUAAAGCUCUGUCCUAGGGGAAGAAUAAAUGACGGUACCCUUGGAGGAAGCCCCGGCUAACUACGUGCCAGCAGCCGCGGUAAUACGUAGGGGGCAAGCGUUGUCCGGAAUUAUUGGGCGUAAAGAGUGCGUAGGUGGUUUUGUAAGCGCGGGGUGAAAGGCAAUAGCUCAACUAUUGUAAGCCCUGCGAACUGUGAGACUUGAGUGCAGGAGAGGAAAGCGGAAUUCCUAGUGUAGCGGUGAAAUGCGUAGAUAUUAGGAGGAACACCAGUGGCGAAGGCGGCUUUCUGGACUGUAACUGACACUGAGGCACGAAAGCGUGGGGAGCAAACA
rnacentral:rRNA from 1 species